GGAGUUUUCUUUAAAUUAAGAUCUGCUAACAGUUGAAUCUUUAUAAUUUGAGAAAUCAACCCAAGAACCAGAUGAGGUCUUCCCUCCACCAAGUCCUGAGUACCAAUGUUUACUACGGUGCAGCCAAUAGCUUUAGCAGAGUUGAGGCAGAGGGUAUGAUUUUCAUUCCUCUCCCAUGGGUUAAGGACCCGUUUGGUGUUGAUAGCUCGUUCAUCUAUUGUCCCCGGAACAGCAACAUUGAUAAGCUUGCAUAGAAGUACUCCAUCUCUCACAAGAUUGAAUAAAUCAUUUGAUGCUGGAUCUAAGGGAAGAAAGUGCUUCAGAAAUGGGUCGUCUCCCAGAUAGCUGUUUAUGUGAACAACAUAAGAUGCUUUUUCUGAUUCAUUAAUGGUGUGAAGAAGAGUGGUUGUCAUGGCCUUGAGGAAUGAUGAAGCAUGCUUUGCCUCCCCUGACCUUGCAGUCGCUUGACCUUGCAAAUUUAGAUAAGCCCUGAGGAAGCCUUCAAAAUCAAUCUCAUUGCUCACGUCAGGAAAGGAUUCACUCAAGAUCCCUCUAAUUUCCUCCUCAUUGAACAUGGAAUUGAAAGCUUUUAAUUUCACCAUAAAAGGAGGCAAAUCUUCAACAGUUACUUUGCCAUUUUGAUUCUUCACUGAUGUAAAUUUGGAUUUGAGGCUGCGAAGCUCGACCUGUGUAAACUGACUCUGAAGCCAUUGAUCAGAGACAUGAACACCCACAUAACUCGACAUCUCAGCUAAUUGCCAACGCGGAGAACGCUAACUAUUCUCAAAAUUGAUCUUUCAGACAAGCAAAGUGGACAAAUGACUCGAGAGUCUUUGAAACCAGAGUUCAAAAAAUAAUGCCAGAAUCAAAGACUCAAAUUCAGAUCCUAUUAAUGUACAAAUAACAACAACCCGCAAUUAAAUUACCCUUGUAUGUGGCUUAGCUUGCAUGAAUCACAAAAAAUCAGUUCUAUAUCCCUGAACAUAAAACAAUAUUUAAGAGUUCAUUAAAAUAAAGCCCAUUUAGUAAAUAAACAAACCGAACAAGCAUGAUCAAAUGAUCUUUAAUUACUAGUGCUUCAUUAAUAAAACCAAAAAAAAAAUGAAUCAAACCCGAACAACAAAAUAGGGAAUAGAAGAGAAUCCAAUAAAAAUGACCAUGAUAUUCGAUUAAAGAAAUAAUAAAUUACACUCAGGAGGAAAAACAAAAAGAAAGGCAAUAAACGUGGAAAUAACAUAUGGUAAACCCUGUUUUCCUCACAUAUAAACAAAAAUGAGCUUAAACCCAAUAAGAAAAACGUAAAAUCAAAGAGAAUCCAGAAUUGCAUACCUAUACUGAAGCCCAGAAACAACAGAUGCACGUUAAAACCUAUCAGCUGCUUUCAGGAAGCAUUCAUACAUUCACGUACCGACCUAAACAGGCAAGAGUAAGAAAAGGGAGAUGUUAGAGACAGAAUGGAUCGAUAUUUCUUCGUGUGAGAGCAAAGCCAGGGAGAGAAAAAGAGAGAGAGAGAG
rnacentral:misc_RNA from 1 species